rnacentral:rRNA from 1 species
UGGGGAAUAUUGCACAAUGGGGGAAACCCUGAUGCAGCGACGCCGCGUGAACGAAGAAGGUAUUCGUAUCGUAAAGUUCUGUCCUAUGGGAAGAUAAUGACAGUACCAUAGAAGAAAGCUCCGGCUAAAUACGUGCCAGCAGCCGCGGUAAUACGUAUGGAGCGAGCGUUGUCCGGAAUUAUUGGGCGUAAAGGGUACGCAGGCGGUUUAAUAAGUCGAAUGUUAAAGAUGGGGGCUCAACCCCGCAAAGCAUUGGAAACUGAUAAACUUGAGUAGUGGAGAGGAAAGUGGAAUUCCUAGUGUAGUGGUGAAAUACGUAGAUAUUAGGAGGAAUACCAGUAGCGAAGGCGACUUUCUGGACACAAACUGACGCUGAGGUACGAAAGCGUGGGGAGCAAACAGG